UACAGAGGUCUCAAGCGUUGUUCGGAUUCAUUGGGCGUAAAGGGUGCGUAGGCGGCGGGGCAAGUCGGAUGUGAAAUCUCAGGGCUCAACCCUGAAACUGCAUUCGAUACUGCCUUGCUCGAGGACUGGAGAGGAGAUUGGAAUUCACGGUGUAGCAGUGAAAUGCGUAGAUAUCGUGAGGAAGACCAGUGGCGAAGGCGGAUCUCUGGUCGGAUACUGACGCUGAGACGCGAAAGCGUGGGGAGCAAACAGG
rnacentral:rRNA from 1 species